rnacentral:misc_RNA from 1 species
AAAAAAGUCAAAUUUGAACAGAAAACUUCCAAAAUUUCACGAUGAUCGAUAUUCUCGAUCUGAUCAUUUCUCUUUUUUCCUCUACGAAGAGAUAGAGAUGUCUUCGGCUAGUGAGAGACUUUAGGGAGAGGAAAGGAGAUCGAUCGAUGAACCUGAAUCCAAUCAAUCAUGGUUUCGAAGACCAUCCAGAUCAAAAUUCUUCUAUAAAUCUUCUCUUUAUUUGUCUUUUUCUUGAAAUGAAAAAUCAUUAUUAUUAUUAUUAA